rnacentral:tRNA from 1 species
GCCGAGGUGGCGGAAUUGGUAGACGCGCUAGCUUGAGGGGCUAGUGACCGCUGAGGUCGUGUGGGUUCGAGUCCCAUCCUCGGCACCA